UUCCUCUUUUGAUCAUGUUAGCUCAAAUUUUUUUGUGUCUCAUUCGUGUUGGGUUCCUACAUAGAAAAUUUAACAAAGUGCAACAAAACAAAAAAUCUAUUUAUUAUUCCUACUCCUACAAAGUCUAAAUUAAAAUCAUCUAAUAAAUAAUACAAGUUUUUAUAAAAUUAAAAUAAUUCAAUCAUCCUCCUCAUCCAUCUCCUCACUCGCAUCAUUCUCCUCAUCUUCUUCUUC
rnacentral:lncRNA from 1 species